rnacentral:tRNA from 1 species
CAUCAGAUGACUGAAAGCAAGUAAUGGUCUCUUAAACCAGUAUAUGGUAUUCUAGCAAAUACCUCUGAUGA